CAUGAUGAACGCUAGCGACAGGCUUAACACAUGCAAGUCGAGGGGCAGCACAGGUAGCAAUACCGGGUGGCGACCGGCGCACGGGUGAGUAACGCGUAUGCAACUUGCCUAUCAGAGGGGGAUAACCCGGCGAAAGUCGGACUAAUACCGCAUGAAGCAGGGAUCCCGCAUGGGAAUAUUUGCUAAAGAUUCAUCGCUGAUAGAUAGGCAUGCGUUCCAUUAGGCAGUUGGCGGGGUAACGGCCCACCAAACCGACGAUGGAUAGGGGUUCUGAGAGGAAGGUCCCCCACAUUGGUACUGAGACACGGACCAAACUCCUACGGGAGGCAGCAGUGAGGAAUAUUGGUCAAUGGCCGAGGGGCUGAACCAGCCAAGUCGCGUGAGGGAUGAAGGUUCUAUGGAUCGUAAACCUCUUUUAUAAGGGAAUAAAGUGCGGGACGUGUCCCGUUUUGUAUGUACCUUAUGAAUAAGGAUCGGCUAACUCCAUGCCAGCAGCCGCGGUAAUACGGAGGAUCCGAGCGUUAUCCGGAUUUAUUGGGUUUAAAGGGCGCGUAGGCGGCCUUUUAAGUCAGCGGUGAAAGUCUGUGGCUCAACCAUAGAAUUGCCGUUGAAACUGGGGGGCUUGAGUAUGUUUGAGGCAGGCGGAAUGCGUGGUGUAGCGGUGAAAUGCAUAGAUAUCACGCAGAACCCCGAUUGCGAAGGCAGCCUGCCAAGCCAUUACUGACGCUGAUGCACGAAAGCGUGGGGGAUCAAACAGGAUUAGAUACCCUGGUAGUCCACGCAGUAAACGAUGAUCACUAGCUGUUUGCGAUACACUGUAAGCGGCACAGCGAAAGCGUUAAGUGAUCCACCUGGGGAGUACGCCGGCAACGGUGAAACUCAAAGGAAUUGACGGGGGCCCGCACAAGCGGAGGAACAUGUGGUUUAAUUCGAUGAUACGCGAGGAACCUUACCCGGGUUUGAACGCAUUCGGACCGAGGUGGAAACACCUUUUCUAGCAAUAGCCGUUUGCGAGGUGCUGCAUGGUUGUCGUCAGCUCGUGCCGUGAGGUGUCGGCUUAAGUGCCAUAACGAGCGCAACCCUUGCCACUAGUUACUAACAGGUAAAGCUGAGGACUCUGGUGGGACUGCCAGCGUAAGCUGCGAGGAAGGCGGGGAUGACGUCAAAUCAGCACGGCCCUUACAUCCGGGGCGACACACGUGUUACAAUGGCGUGGACAAAGGGAGGCCACCUGGUGACAGGGAGCGAAUCCCCAAACCACGUCUCAGUUCGGAUCGGAGUCUGCAACCCGACUCCGUGAAGCUGGAUUCGCUAGUAAUCGCGCAUCAGCCAUGGCGCGGUGAAUACGUUCCCGGGCCUUGUACACACCGCCCGUCAAGCCAUGGGAGCCGGGGGUACCUGAAGUCCGUAACCGCGAGGAUCGGCCUAGGGUAAAACCGG
rnacentral:rRNA from 1 species